rnacentral:rRNA from 1 species
UACGUAGGGACCAAGCGUUGUUCGGAUUUACUGGGCGUAAAGGGCGCGUAGGCGGCGCGGUAAGUCACUUGUGAAAUCUCUGAGCUUAACUCAGAACGGCCAAGUGAUACUGCAGUGCUAGAGUGUGGAAGGGGCAAUCGGAAUUCUUGGUGUAGCGGUGAAAUGCGUAGAUAUCAAGCGGAACACCGGUGGCGAAGGCGGCCUUCUGGACAGUGACUGACGCUGAGACGCGAAAGCGUGGGGAGCAAACAGG